rfam:Vitis vinifera, whole genome shotgun sequence of line PN40024, unoriented chromosome 12, chr12
AGAUUCGUAGAAAGGAGAGACAGUUGGUGUCUCCCCUGACAGGGACAGGAAUGGCUUUCGGGCUUUCCUGUUAACAGACAUCCAAUUAAGGCACUCCAUGGAUCUCUAACCCAAUUUUU